GACGAACGCUGGCGGCGUGCUUAACACAUGCAAGUCGAACGGAAAGGCCCUGCUUUUGUGGGGUGCUCGAGUGGCGAACGGGUGAGUAACACGUGAGUAACCUGCCCUUGACUUUGGGAUAACUUCAGGAAACUGGGGCUAAUACCGGAUAGGAGCUCCUGCUGCAUGGUGGGGGUUGGAAAGUUUCGGCGGUUGGGGAUGGACUCGCGGCUUAUCAGCUUGUUGGUGGGGUAGUGGCUUACCAAGGCUUUGACGGGUAGCCGGCCUGAGAGGGUGACCGGCAAAAUUGGGACUGAGAUACGGCCCAGAAUCCAACGGGAGGCAGAAGUGGGGAAUAUUGCACAAUGGGCGGAAGCCUGAUGAAGCAACGCCGCGUGCGGGAUGACGGCCUUCGGGUUGUAAAACGCUUUCGCCUGUGACGAAGCGUGAGUGACGGUAAUGGGUAAAGAAGCACCGGCUAACUACGUG
rnacentral:rRNA from 1 species